UACGGGGGGGGCAAGCGUUGUUCGGAAUUACUGGGCGUAAAGGGUGCCUAGGCGGUUUGCUAAGUUGGAUGUGAAAACUCUGGGCUCAACCCAGAGCCUGCAUCCAAAACUGGCAGGCUAGAGUUCUGGAGGGGGUAGCGGAAUUCCUGGUGUAGCGGUGAAAUGCGUAGAGAUCGGAAGGAACACCAACGGCGAAAGCACUCUGCUGGGCCGACACUGACACUGAGAGACGAAAGCUAGGGGAGCGAAUGGG
rnacentral:rRNA from 1 species